GUGAGGAAUAUUGGUCAAUGGGCGGAAGCCUGAACCAGCCAAGUAGCGUGCAGGAUGACGGCCCUAUGGGUUGUAAACUGCUUUUAUACGGGGAUAAAGUGCGCCACGUGUGGAGCAUUGCAGGUACCGUAUGAAUAAGGACCGGCUAAUUCCGUGCCAGCAGCCGCGGUAAUACGGAAGGUCCGGGCGUUAUCCGGAUUUAUUGGGUUUAAAGGGAGCGCAGGCCGGAAGCAAAGCGUGCCGUGAAAUGUAGAUGCUCAACAUCUGAAUUGCGGCGCGAACUGGUUUUCUUGAGUGCAUACGAGGUAGGCGGAAUUUGUGGUGUAGCGGUGAAAUGCUUAGAUAUCACGAAGAACUCCGAUUGCGAAGGCAGCCUACCAGGAUGUAACUGACGCUAAAGCUCGAAAGUGCGGGAAUCAAACAGGAUUAGAAACCCGUGUAGUCC
rnacentral:rRNA from 1 species